GGCAAGAUGGCCGAGUGGUCUAAGGCGCUAGAUUUAGGCAAUUAGCAAUUUGCUAUACUCUAGUCUUCGGGCGUGGGUUCGAAUCCCACUCUUGUCA